UUCCCUCUAUAUGGUCUACUAUAUAUGUGCUGAGCACCAUCUAAUACGUGUGGUUGGCGUGAGUUUGAUUAAAUCUGCACAUGAAGAUGCUUUGUAGUCUGCCAUCAUGUGCUCUAAUGUUUUUUCUACUAGGACAUGGCCCAUGGGUCAGAUAACCGAAGGCAAUAAGAGAAAGGGUACCAGCGACAAGAGACGCCCGGCAAAGGCCCUCUUCAAGGGGAAGCAGAAAUCUUAGUCUUGCCAGACUGCGGUUGCAGAACCGGGCCAGGACAAGCGCGCCAGCAAGGAAAUCAACCAUGAGGCUGCAGAUGAGGCUUCUCCUCGGUUUGCCAGCUCAGGAGGUCCGGCCUCAUCUCCUCCGUUGGAAACAGUCCUAUAAGCUUCCUCUUUGUCAUGUCCCCCUCCCCAUGUACACAAAUAAGAGGAAAGGAAACAGUGAAACGGGUCCCGACAGGGAGAAGCGACGGCAGAAAUAAAAUGAUGUCCGGUUGCAUUGCCUUGUGGUGUUGAUCAUCUGAUGGACAGAGAGGAGUUCGCUUCCAGGAUCUGUCAAGGACAGAGCGAUCAUGUCGCUGCAGAUGUUGUGACAACGCGUUGUGCUCGAUGUGUUCAUCUAUGUCGAUGCUAUCCUGGGCAGGGCACUUCCCGUCUAAAUAUUGUUACAGGUCAGGUCCAUGUUUAGGUUUUUAACUGAAGCCUGCAGAUGAUGGUCACAGAUCCAUAAUACUUAGACUAUCUGUAAGAGAUGGUUCAUUUCCAGGCACGACGAACUCAGUUUAGAUAGGAAACCCAUACAACUACCUCUGUUUAUUGUACUUCUCUCUCUAAUGAGUUGAGGUUUACCUGCUUUAGUUCUAAUCUUUGUUCUGUCUGUUGUUGUAUGUACCUGCACUAAAUAAGUAUACCAUAGGUUGCACUUUAUUGACCUACUGUCUCCGUGGUGUUUGUUCUUAAGCGUGUUCCAGUUAUCAAUCAGACUACCAAUGAGUAAUUUCACUGAAAUGAACCAACUGAAAGCAUGCUUCAGAGUGUCGCAUCUAUUUUUCUUCUGGCCUUUGCUCUUGGAUCUCUUUCAUGUGAUAGUUUUGGUUUUGAUUCAGGCAGUAACUCAGGACAGAAACAAAGCACCCAUGGUGCCUCAGAGAAAGAUAACAUAUCAGUUAUUGUCGGCUGAAUCCGCGCUUACUUCACGGGAGGUUGCCUAAAUCCUCUAUCAUUCCUCCUUAGACUCUUGAAGAGACUACAGGCCACAGCUCAUGUGAUUUGGUGACGGCACCCUAUCCGUUCAAUCGCCAGUGAGCUUACUCGGUUUGGGUCACUGGUGCCUGCUGCCGGAGCCGGAUGGCGCAAGUCUACCUCCUCAUCCUCCAGAUCUACUGCCGGUCUGGCCCUGCAAACAAGCGGGCGGCUUGCUAUUGCUCGCAAUAGCAUCCCCAGCGUGGCAUGGGACAAACGUAGCAUCCAGCGAAGACCAGCCACACCGGCUCGACAGCACGACGCACUGGUGG